rnacentral:sRNA from 1 species
ACCUAGCCCCGAUAGCAGUGAAAAUCCUCUAGUGCCAGGGUAUGGCACUAGAGAUUGUAACGGAUAGCGGGACGACUC